AGGGAAUUUUCCGCAAUGGACGAAAGUCUGACGGAGCAACGCCGCGUGAGUGAGGACGGUCUUCGGAUUGUAAAACUCUGUUCUUUCGGAAGAGCGUCACUGAGCUGAUAAGGCUCUGUGACCCGACGGUACGAAAGGAGAAAGCCCCGGCUAACUACGUGCCAGCAGCCGCGGUAAUACGUAGGGGGCAAGCGUUGUCCGGAUUUAUUGGGCGUAAAGGGCGCGCAGGCGGCCUUUUAAGUCAGUUGUGAAAGGUCUCGGCUCAACCGAGGAGCGGCAGCUGAAACUGGAAGGCUUGAGUGCAGGAGAGGAGAGCGGAAUUCUCGGUGUAGCGGUGGAAUGCGUAGAGAUCGGGAGGAACACCAGUGGCGAAGGCGGCUCUCUGGCCUGUAACUGACGCUGAGGCGCGAAAGCGUGGGGAGCAAAC
rnacentral:rRNA from 1 species